GACGAACGCUGGCGGCGUGCCUAAUACAUGCAAGUAGAACGCACAGUUUAUACCGUAGCUUGCUACACCAUAGACUGUGAGUUGCGAACGGGUGAGUAACGCGUAGGUAACCUGCCUGGUAGCGGGGGAUAACUAUUGGAAACGAUAGCUAAUACCGCAUAAUAUUAAUUAUUGCAUGAUAAUUAAUUGAAAGGUGCAAUUGCACCACUACCAGAUGGACCUGCGUUGUAUUAGCUAGUAGGUGAGGUAACGGCUCACCUAGGCGACGAUACAUAGCCGACCUGAGGGGGUGAUCGGCCACACUGGGACUGAGACACGGCCCAGACUCCUACGGGAGGCAGCAGUAGGGAAUCUUCGGCAAUGGACGAAAGUCUGACCGAGCAACGCCGCGUGAGUGAAGAAGGUUUUCGGAUCGUAAAGCUCUGUUGUAGGAGAAGAACGGGUGUGAGAGUGGAAAGUUCACACUGUGACGGUAUCUUACCAGAAAGGGACGGCUAACUACGUG
rnacentral:rRNA from 1 species